rnacentral:rRNA from 1 species
UACGAGGUGGACAAACGUUAUUCGGAUUUACUGGGCUUAAAGCGUGCGUAGGCGGCUCAGAAAGUUGGGUGUGAAAGCCCCGGGCUCAACCUGGGAACUGCAUUGGAAACUAACGGGCUCGAGUGUGGCAGAGGGGGGUGGAAUUCCACGUGUAGCAGUGAAAUGCGUAGAGAUGUGGAGGAACACCGAUGGCGAAGGCAGCCCCCUGGGCUAACACUGACGCUCAGGCACGAAAGCGUGGGGAGCAAACAGG